AGAGAAAUUGUAUUUGUGAUUCUCUUUUUUGAUAGAAAUUACAAGACCUAUUAGCCUUUUUCUUUUUUUUUAAACCCUUACCUUCUAUCUUGGAAUCAAUACUGUGUAUUAAUUCCAAGGCAGAAGAGUGAUAAAUGUUUAAGUGACUUGCCCAGGGUCACACAGCUGGGAAGUAUCUGAGGUCAGAUUUGAACUUAGGACCUCCCAUCUCUAGGCCUGGCUCUCAAUUCACUGCCUCCAGACCCAUUAGUCUUAAAGUUUUGCAGCUUGGAUUGUGGAAGUAUGUUUAUUCUUGGAAUAUUGUAGCUGAAUUAUGUGAAAAAGUCUGAAGAUUUCUUUAAAAGCUAUUUUGGAGAAAAGGAUCCAAAAAUGGAUAAGACCGCUGUCCAAGAUAAAUGGAAUGAGGAGAACACCCCAUUCAGAGAAGGCUGUUUCAGACUCCAUCAGGAUUGCCAGAUAGUGGGAAGUCUGACUACUCCUGGGAACAUCCUCCUGUUUUCCUUUCUAUCAUCAAAUGGAAUGCUUGACUGCUCAUAGGCCUGGGGUACAACAGGAUCCCUAUGAAUGCAAGUAUCUGGGAAUGAGAAUGCCUGCUGUGGAGAAACUGCUUCAGGAUGAAAAGGAGAGAGAGUGGCCUAAGGAGAAAAUCCCUACGUGUAUGCAAAAAAAAAAAAAAAGAGUUUUGAAGCUCGAAUGA
rnacentral:lncRNA from 1 species